CAUGCUGGGUCUCCCAUAUACAUGCAUGGUUGAUAUGUGGUCCCUGGGUUGCCUGGCAGCAGAAUUGUUAAUUGGUGCCCCACUUUAUCCCGGCUACACAGAAUAUGACAUGUGGGCAUACAUCUUACAAACCCAUGGUGAGCUUCCUGAUGCAAUGCUGAACCAAGGCAUCAAAACCCCUUUGUGUUUCACCAAAGGACCGGUCUGGAGACGCAAGACACGACGGGAGAAGGAGGAGGGUAUGAGGAGCAAAGGGCUCCAGCGGCGCCGGCCCAGGCCGUUCCUCUUCACCUCCCUGGAGGACGUGG